rnacentral:rRNA from 1 species
GACGAACGCUGGCGGCGUGCUUAACACAUGCAAGUCGAACGGAAAGGCCCUGCUUUUGUGGGGUGCUCGAGUGGCGAACGGGUGAGUAACACGUGAGUAACCUGCCCUUGACUUUGGGAUAACUUCAGGAAACUGGGGCUAAUACCGGAUAGGAGCUCCUGCUGCAUGGUGGGGGUUGGAAAGUUUCGGCGGUUGGGGUUGGACUCGCGGCUUAUCAGCUUGUUGGUGGGGUAGUGGCUUACCAAGGCGUUGACGGGUAGCCGGCCUGAGAGGGUGACCGGCCACAUUGGGACUGAGAUACGGCCCAGACUGCUACGGGAGGCAGCAGUGGGGAAUAUUGCACAAUGGGCGGAAGCCUGAGGCAGCAACGCCGCGUGCGGGAUGACGGCCUUCGGGUUGUAAACCGCUUUCGCCUGUGACGAAGCGUGAGUGACGGUAAUGGGUAAAGAAGCACCGGCUAACUACGUG